GUCCAGACUCCUACGGGAGGCAGCAGUGGGGAAUAUUGCACAAUGGGGGGAACCUUGAUGCAGCAACGCCGCGUGGGUGAAGAAGUACUCCGGUAUGUAAAGCCCUGUCAGCAGGGAAGAAAAUGACGGUACCUGACCAAGAAGCCCCGGCUAACUACGUGCCAGCAGCCGCGGUAAUACGUAGGGGGCAAGCGUUAUCCGGAUUUACUGGGCGUAAAGGGAGCGCAGGCGGCACGGCAAGUCUGAUGUGAAAACCCAGGGCUCAACUCUGGGACUGCAUUGGAAACUGCCGGGCUGGAGUGUCGGAGGGGUAAGCAGAAUUCCUAGUGUAGCGGUGAAAUGCGUAGAUAUGAGGAGGAACACCAGUGGCGAAGGCGGCUUACUGGACGACUACUGACGCUGAGGCUCGAAAGCGUGGGGAGCAAACAGGAUUAGAUACCCGAGUA
rnacentral:rRNA from 1 species